UACGUAGGGGGCGAGCGUUGUCCGGAAUUAUUGGGCGUAAAGCGCGUGUAGGCGGCCAGGUAGGUCCGUUGUGAAAACUCGAGGCUCAACCUCGAGACGCCGAUGGAAACCAUCUAGCUAGAGUCCGGAAGAGGAGAGUGGAAUUCCUGGUGUAGCGGUGAAAUGCGCAGAUAUCAGGAAGAACACCCGUGGCUAAGGCGGCUCUCUAGUACGGUACUGACGCUGAGACGCGAAAGCGUGGGGAGCGAACAGG
rnacentral:rRNA from 1 species